UAAAUGUUACCGUCUUAUUUGCCCAAUCAAAUAAUCUGACGCCUGUCAUUUCCAUCUUUUCUUUUAAUUCAGACUUAAUGGCAAUACCAUUUUCCAAGGCAAGCUCUAAACCACCGAUGCUUUUGAUCUGCCAAUUUAGACUUCCCCCUUUCUUUCUUCUCCCCCUUUCUUUAGUCCGGUUCUCUUUCGCAGUCGAUUUUCCUCUGAUUUUCGGCAUACGUGGGAACACUUUCAACCAGAUCUGGACUAUAGCUGAUGAAUAUCAUGAAUAUAAACCCCUAUUUGCGAUUUAUCCUCCCCUUUCGCCUUGCAUUUCUUUAUUACCGAUAAAGAGUCGCCUUCGAUAAUGAUUUCCUUCUCUUGCAUGUCGAGUGCUAUUUGGAUCGCUUUUCUACAAGUGAGUGCUUCGGCUGCGAAGGUGGAGAGAACUCUAUGGUGAAUCUCUGUGCAUGACAGGAGGACGAAACCUUUGCUGUUUUUGACUACUAUCCCGGAAGCCGAUUGUUGGUUGCGCUCAUUAUAUGCUCCGUCAAAGUUUAUUUUCACUAUUUGACCAGGUGGGUGUUUCUAUUUAGUAUUCUCCUUAGAAACUAUGGAAAUAGUGCUCUCUAAACCAUCCAUUUCUUCUAAGUAGCUAUGAACAAAGCAUGCAAUUUCCUGACUAGAUCUGUUUGUUUUAUCAUGUAUUCGAGCAUUUCUGUCCCCCCAUAUGGCCCAUAAUGUACAACAAAAUAGUCUAUAAAAGGAGGUUGGCUGGUCAACGAGGACCCUGACAAUCCUGAAAGAGGUGGUCCAUUGUUUCUACUUCUUCACCAUAACGAGGACAUGUUGGACUAUUUACUAGUUUCCUACAUGACAUAUUUACCCGAGUAAGCAAAUAGUUCCGAGAAAUUUUCCAGCAUGUAAUUAUAAUUUUUUUUAGUAGAUCUAGGCUCCAUAGUUUUAUGUAGAAAGCUUUGUAGUCAGGAUAUAAAGCAUAAUUUCUAAGUUCCAGACUUUGUAAUAGUUUAUAGUAGUUUAUAGGCGCUUCUAAUUGAGUAUUCGCCGCUCCAAACCCUAAAAUCAGCAUGAGGUUCCUUCGUCAAUGGGAUGCAGAGAAUCUUUUCAUCCACUUCUUCUGGGAAGGACUUAACUCAAUGCAAUCAUUAAUACCAUGCCCCAUUCUUCCACAACCAAAGCAAAAAAUCGUCGAAAAUUGCAAGAGAAGCCAUAUCUAGGGUUUUGGCCAAGCUUUCAAGCUCAAUUGUAAGUCCGUUUUGUCCCAUUUUUAACGAUUUUUAUAUUUUUGAGAUCGUGGUAACUUAAUUUAGCUAUUUCAAGGACUAAUUUGAAAGAAAGUUAAAGUCUAAAAUUUUACUCAUGUUGAAUAUGCUUAUAUUUUGAUGUUUGAUGGUAGAAAAUACAUGUUUUUUUGUUUGUUAAACGACUUUUUUAAAGUGAUUUUUGGUAAAAACGUCAAAUAGGGACUUAUUUGUAAAAGUCUAUAAAAUGUGUAGAAAAGUGUGAAUAAAGGAAAAAUGUGGACUGUUAUGAGUACAAACAACAUUCCGGUAGGUUUGGGUUGUGAUGAAAUUGAAAGAAAUUCAUUUUACGAACUUAGGGACUAAAUUAUAAAAUGUUGUAAAGUAGGGGUAAAAAUAUAAAUUUUUCCAUAAUAUGUUUUUGGACUGAAUUGAAUGAUGUGAUGAUUAAAUAAGUUAAAUGUGGUAUUAUAGAUCAAGAAAAAUACAAAUUGGGUCUAGACCGGGGGAAAAACAAAGUAAUUGAUGAAUAGAUCUCUUUGUCCGUUUUUGUAACCGAGAUGCUGGUCCUGUACGUCCUACCGGUGGAUGAAUAUACCGGCAUAUGUUGCAGUUAAACAUCUUAUCGUCACCAAGCUAGCUCGGUUUGGAGAUUGUCGGAGAUGGUAUCACACUAUCAAACUAUUAUUUUCGGUACUGAUGAUUUUAAACAUUUUGAGAAUAUGGCAUGUAUAGGGACUUGGUCAUUUUGUAAUAUGUGUCAUUAUGAAUUUGGCCAAAUGUAUUAACUUGUAAUUGUCAAAGGCUUGAUGUGGUAUUUGGCCAUGUAAUUUGGUUUAUUUUGGUUGAAUUGGUUGUAAGUUUAUAUAUAUUUAUAUGUGCAUGCAUGAGCAAUUGUCUCUUAUGUGAUAUGGUUUACAAAUGCUUGGUAAAUGGUUGAAUGUGGCUUAAUGGUUUUGGUUGUUGAAUGGUUAAGAUUAGCUCAUUGGUAUGCUUGGAAAAAACUAAGUAAAAUUAUGCAUGUUAUUGGUAGCCAUAUUGAAACUUAUAGAAUGUGAGCUUGGUAUGAUUUGGUUUUGGCAAAAUAUGAUGUUGUAAAUAUGUUGAGUGUGGAUAAUCAAAUGACAUGAUUUGGCAUUGUUUUGUGGAUGUUUUGGUUGCCUAAAUAUGCCAUGAUUUAUGCCAUUGGAUUUGUGUAUGUGAAUGUGUAAAUGAGGAUGGCAAAUAGCUUGGUAAAUAGCGUUUAUUUUGUCCACACAGGUAGACACACAGGUGUGUGUAGGCCAUGUGUGAUACACAGCCUAUGCCAUGAGCAUUUGUUUCGGCCGUGUGUCAUCUGCACCUUAAUUUUUGAGAAACAGAAUGUAUAGAAUUAAGCAUACGGGCAGAGGCACGGGUGUGUGUCUCAGUCGUAUGAGGGACACAACGUCAAGCACCGGUGUGUGUCUCAGCCAUGUGAGGGACACGUGAUAAACAGUAAUUUAUACAUAUUUGUACCCCAUGUUUAACGCAUUUUAUGGAUGAUUUCUCAUUAGAGUUGGUGAAUUCGAUGCUCCUAAUUCUUUAAUUUUUGACAAACAGAAUGUAUAGAAUUAAGCAUACGGGCAGAGGCACGGGCGUGUGUCUCAGCCGUGUGAGGGACACAACGUCAAGCACCGGCGUGUGUCUCAGCCGUGUAAGGGACACGUGAUAAACAGAGAGCAUAGGAGAGCAAAAUGAACGAGAAACAGGCCAAAAAAGGAGAAAUUGGGCCAAAGUACGAAAUCAACACGGCCUGGACCUCCUCACAUGGGCAGACCACAUGGACGUGUCAAUUUGGCAGGCUCGAGCACGUCCCGAAGUAAUCGCACACGGGGAUGUCCCUGCCAAGCGCAAGUUGAGUCCAAUUCGGAAAAGACUAAUUUUGAGGGCUUUUAGGCAUUCCAAAGCCUAUAAAUACACCCUAGAGGAGGAAGAAAGGGAGACACAAAAUAGGGAGUAAAGAAUUACUCUAAGGAAGCCGAUUGAUCCAUCUCAGAAGUCGGAUUCACCAUCAAGACUGAAGAUCUCUCCUCAAUUUCCCCUUCAAGAGUUUAGGGUUUUGUUUAUGUUUUGUAUUCUUUAUUAUUUUGAGAUGUUCUCUUAUUUAGUUAUGAACUAAAACCCCUAAAUAUAUAAGAGGAAUGAAACCUAAGACGAAUCUUGUUAUUA